UGGGGAAUAUUGCACAAUGGAGGGAACUCUGAUGCAGCAACGCCGCGUGCGGGAUGACGGCCUUCGGGUUGUAAACCGCUUUCAGCCAUGACGAAGCGGUGGUGACGGUAGUGGUAGAAGAAGCACCGGCUAACUACGUGCCAGCAGCCGCGGUGAUACGUAGGGUGCGAGCGUUGUCCGGAAUUAUUGGGCGUAAAGAGCUUGUAGGCGGUUUGUCGCGUCGAUAGUGUAAACACGCAGCUUAACUGUGUGCCUGCUGUCGAUACGGGCUGACUAGAGGAGGGUAGGGGAGAAUGGAAUUCCCGGUGGAGCGGUGGAAUGCGCAGAUAUCGGGAGGAACACCAGUGGCGAAGGCGGUUCUCUGGACCUUUCCUGACGCUGAGAAGCGAAAGCGUGGGUAGCAAACAGG
rnacentral:rRNA from 1 species